rnacentral:rRNA from 1 species
UACAGAGGUCCCAAGCGUUGUUCGGAUUCACUGGGCGUAAAGGGUGCGUAGGUGGCGGGGUAAGUUUGAUGUGAAAUCUCCGAGCUCAACUCGGAAACUGCAUUGAAUACUAUUCUGCUAGAGGGUUGGAGGGGAGACUGGAAUUCUCGGUGUAGCAGUGAAAUGCGUAGAUAUCGAGAGGAACACCAGUGGCGAAGGCGAGUCUCUGGACAACUCCUGACACUGAGGCACGAAAGCUAGGGGAGCAAACAGG